UUUUUUUUUUCUGAACAAAUCGUAUGAUUAUAAUUUAAUUGAAAGAUUCAGUUGAGCUGCCAAUAAAGUGAGAAAUAGAAAAAAUAUUAUAAAGUGGGAUCUUCUUUACUAAUAAUAAUUAGAACGCACUAUGAGAUAUUGUAAUCAAUUUUUCUCUAAGUUGAAUCUUUAGUAAAUAUAUAUUAUUAAUGUACUUAUAUAUGCUAUAUAUAGUAGAGGAUCAAAAUAUUAAGAGAAUUUUCAUUAAUUUUGGUUUAGAAUAAUGACAUUUUCAAUUUAGGUAACGAUCUUCUCUUUCUUGAAUUAGCAUGCACAUUAUACAAGGUCCCCACUUUGGCACAAUGAACCGAUUUGAUCCUUUCUUGUUUAGUAAUUUUUAAUCUUUUGAUGUUUAUAAUUUUUAUCUCUAAAGUUUGAUUCUUUUUGAAUCUUAAUGCUUAAUUAUUAUUUAGUGCCGGAUAAGACCUGUUGAUUACUGACUAUUUCGAUUCGUAACAAUUUUUCUAGUUUAAUGGGCACAAAGUAUAUUUAUCAACUAGUUGCCCCUUUCAUGGUACUAUUUUAUUAUAUUGUGAAAACAGCGAAUUUUAAAAUUCAUAGACUACAUAUUUCAUAUGUUAUGCACUAUUUUCGUAGCAUAUAGUACACAUAAGUUUAUACCCUAUAAAGUAUAUACUAUAAAGGGUGCCUACUGUUCUUUAUGCUUAAUUAGUAAUAGUACUGAUUUUUAUUUUAAAACUAAAGCUAUACAUAUGGAUGUCAACACCAUCAUACAUAUUACAUAUUUUAUAUAUGAUAUUAAAAGGAUCUGGGGUAGAUAUAUAACUCAUUUCAUUAGAUUAAUCUUUUUACGAUAUUGUAUUUUUAGCUUUCUUGAACUAUUUUAACCCUAACCAAUUAUGGAUUUUAUUUUCUACCUUUUAUUUAAUUUUGUUCUUUCUUCGUCUGCAGUUAUAAGUCUUCCUCAUACAAUUUAGCUGCCACCGCCCUCCAGCAUUGCUAAUUUUGUGAUUUCAUGAGCUAAUUAGGGUUUAAGAUUUAGAAUUUUAUAUUUAAUUUCGAGAUUUAGAUUGAAACUUGUGUAAGCAGUAAGCUCCAAUACCAUAUGAAAGUUUUCUAUUUUCUAAUUCUAAUUAAAAACAUAAUUUCUGCUAUAAGUAAAAUGAUGUAAGAAAGUUACUUUGCGUCCAUGAACACCAUAUUUCUGCUAAGUCCGAAAUAUUUAUGUCUAAAAGAAAACAAAAGUGUUAGUUAUUGUGCUUAAAAAUGUUUUAAGUAAAUUAACUUUUGUUUUUAUAUACAUGUUCAUUACAUCACUGCCGCAUUUAUAUAAGAUAUAAAUCGUGCGAAUGUAUACAAUAACAUAAAGAAGGUCACGAUGCUUAUAAUAUCUAUUGAGUGGUAUUAAUCUAUUUAAAAUAAAAAGCUAUUAAUUUAUAACUUGGCAAUGGGUCCAUUUGGGUCGUGUGAUAAAGCCAUUGUAUAAAUAGGUUUUGGCGUUUGCUCGUAAAAUACAAUUUGCUUUUAACAAAAAGAGAGAAUUGCUUCGACGUAAAAUACUAUUAUUUGCGUUCGCCGUCUUUUGUUUGUCGAUAAAGGAGACUUUAUUUGGUACUAGCAAUUGACCCGCGCUGUGCGCGGGAGGUUUAUAAUUUUUUGUUAACUUUUUAUUCAUAUUGUGAUAUUUUAUUUAUUUUUUAAAUUGAUUUUCAAAACAUAUUAUAGUUAUUUUCUCUUAAAUUAUUAUCUUUCAAUAUUUAAAUUUGAAUUAAAAGAAUUUUCUUAUUGAUCAUGUUAUAAACUAAUAUUUCACUUUCAAUUUUAUUUUUUCCCUUUAAAAUUUUAUAUAUACAAUUAUAUAAAUGUUUUUUUAUUCUACCAUAAAUUUAAAAUUUACUUACAUUCUUAAACUCAGUAACACAUUUAAAAAUUUAAACUAUCAUCAAUUUAAAAUGAAAGUUGAAUUAUAUUAAUACCACUAACUAAUAAAAAAUGAAAGUAUUUCUUAUUUAACAUUUCAUUUAUUUACAUAAUUUAUUUAAUUUAUAUAAAUUUUCUAUUAAUUAAAUAAGUAGCAUAAAUAUGCACUAAAUGAAUGUUUUAAAUUUAUUUUAAUGUAAAAAAUGUGGCUUAGGUGGAUGCUUAUGUGGCAUCAUGAGAAGAGAGAAAAAGCUAACUUUAUAUAUAUAGAUUUUGAUGCCAUUUACAGCUGAUAUUAAAUCCCCCGGUUUUGGCCCUCACGUUUGUUAACUUUUAGGUCAAUAUGCUUUUUCAUAUUGGUAUAAAAAUGAUAAAAGUAAUGAAUUUAUUAUAUAUGUGUAAUGUUCGACAUAAUUUUUAUUUAGUUUUCUUUUUAUAUGCAUAUGAUUUUAUUUUAUUUUUUGUUAAACAAUAUGCAUAUGAUUUUAUCAUAGGAAUCUGCCUUUUUCACUCAUGAAUCAUGAUUCAUGACAUAUCAUCCAUAGCGUGAUCAUAGUAUUAGGUGUUUGGUUUACUGUAAAGCAUAAUUAAUUAAAAGAUUAUAAACUGCCUUUAAGUAAAGUUUAAUUUGUACGUUCGUAAAUCCAUCUUUGAAAAAAUUGAUGGACCAAAAUCCAUGGUCCAAACUCUUAAAGUUAAAUAACCAAGAUAUGUUUUGUAAACUUCUCAAAAACUUCAAGUUUCGUUAAACAAAACCAAAAAAAAAAAAACACGACUUAUGCAUCAAUUACAACUUUAACAAAAAAAAUUAUGAUGGUCAGUUAUAGUUGUUAAAAUCAGCUAAAUUGUCCACAAUUUGCAGGGGUUUUGCAGAUUUAAAAAAAAAGAGAGUAAAUGAUAGUUUUGGUAAGUUUACCCAUGGCUUGUAGUCAUGAAAAUUUUCCACUUGAUUUUUUUUUUUUUUGGCAGAAAACCCUAAAUUAAAACGUAUAUCAAAAACAAUUUUGUUUGAAGGGUUUACGAAUGAAUUGGAUGUAAAAGAAAGCAGAGAUGAAUGUAAGAUCGCAUCCAACAUUUAAAUGUCGUUAAUUGAAGGAGAGAGAAAAGCAUGUAAUUGUCUUCAACAGUUUAAACUUUUAUUUUGAUGUACGUACUAUCAAUCUAAAACACGAGUAGCUUGUUAUAGGACGAUGACCAUCUAUAUCGACUACUGUUCUGUCUGUUAAAAAAACAAAUCAUAUAUAUAUUUGUUUGAUUAAUUAUUAGUUUUAACAUACUAUAUAUAUAAGUCACAAUCAAAAUAUAAACAAACAGACGAGGUAAUCAUAAGACAGAAUCAUAUGUAUUACAUGCAGGACCAUCUAAACCAACGUCGCACUGACGUUGCUAUAUACAUGUAUGUAAAUUAAAGUCACAAAAUUAUAAUGAAAAGUAAAAGGUUGAUAAUUAAAUAAAUAUAUGGUCCUUGUUCAGUGUUGAACGUAAAAUAACGAAACUUUAGAAUAUCUAACGUACGUACGAUAACGAAACGUAUAGAAAUAAUAUAUCAAUAGAACAGUGAAAUUUGUAAUAAUCUUACAAACGCAAAUUCGCAAUUUUAUUACAAAAAAAAAAAAACAGACUCAGUGCAGCCAAAUUAUUUGAUAAGAAAACACAUAUCUCGAAGAAAUUGAAAACAACUCUUAAUUAUAAAGGAAACCCUAAAUAACUAAUGAUGUUGUGGGUCGGGUCCUCCUGGACUUAAUCUCUCUGGAGUUUUCCCGUGGCUGCUGCUGCUACCCGCAGCUUGAUCAUUCGCUACAUUCGGACUAGAAGCUUCGCUUGAAGGGCUUAGACCUUUCACCUUCACCCCGACAGGUGCCUGCUUAAGAGGGCGGCUUCCAACGGCGACUGAAGAUAACAGAAGAAACAAGAAGAAGCAUAGAGUGAAGCUUAACUUAGCCAUUACUAUUAGAUUCUAUAUUUAGAAAAGCAAAAGAUAUAAGAGGGAGAGAGAGAGAGAGAGAGAGAGAGAGAGAGAGAGAGAGAGAUUAGAAUUGGGAAGUAGUAGUUCACGUGGAGUGUAUAUGAGGAAAGAAGAGAUCUCAGGAUGGUUUCUAUAUAUAGAGUUUUAUUUGAAGGGUUUCUAGUUGUGGACAUGGGUCUAGCUAGCUUAGGGCUUUAGUGCUCAUGCCAAGUGCAAGCAUGAGUUGUCACCGAGGACAGUUUAUCUCGUUACCUAAAUUCUUCUUCAUUAACAAAAACUUGUAUAAUAAUCAUAUUAAACCAGCUUAGCAAGUGACUCUUGCGAGUUGCAAAAUGCAAAUUGGUGCUUUGAAUAGUACAAAAAAAAAUGAUAAAGAUCAACGCAUUACAGUAUAGUACACAUAUUUAAUACGAUCGACAGCUUAAUAUUAUACAUAUUGUGUUAGGGGCUAGGAUUGGCCAAGUCCUUUUUUAGACUCAUGUGCGAUCCAUUUCUAUACACUUGUUGAUUUGUUAGGUGGCCUUGUCUCCUGGAUGAAUUUUAUACUAAUCCUCUCCCAGAAAAAAACUAGGUGAGAAUAUAUAUAUAUAUAUAUAUAUAUAUCAGUGGUUACAAUGCAUUUUGCAGUCUAGAUCAAUAGAGUAAAAUAACCGGUACGUAAAUAAAACCAAUGUUUAGUCUCAAAUGAUGUCGAACGUAUGAGUUCCCAAUCCAAUCUCUUUUGAAGGAUUUAUCGUCAUUGCGGUGUCAAUAUUUGUCAAACCCUUAUGGCCUUAUCGAUCGAGUCAUGCGCAUGCGCGGUCGUUUCACUUUCAUGUAUUUUGAACAUUCGCUGAUUUGUUACUACCGCGAUUAUGAAACAACAUAUAAACUAAUCUCGAAACAUAUAUACACGACCAAAAGUAAAUGUAGUGUAUUAAAAUAAGGAGCUUGGAGAUACAGAGUUUUAUCCAUUUAUACGAUCGUUUCCGUAAUUACAUCAUCAAAACUAAGAAAGAUAUGAAUCUCAUGAAUAUUCUUUACAUUGGACUGUUAAAAGAGACGAGAUAAGCGACGGCUUUAAGUGCUAAUAUUAUAAUAAAUGUAAAAUAAUCAUGUCGAUAAAGCAAAAAAUAUUCAAUACCAAACCUUACACCAUAUAUUUUAUAACUCUCGACCGUCCCUAUCCAGUGAUAUAUAUGUGCAUGCGCACACACAAAUAUUAUAAUACGUAUGUGUGAGAAAGAGAGAGUUAAUAAUACGAGGUAAUGAUAAUGGACGAGGAUGGUGAUUCAUGAAAAUCCAAUAAGAUAGAAAAGGAAAGGUGUAAAAUAUGAAAAUUGAGGUCAAAGGGCGAGUGCACUUAUAUGUGUCUUUGUGUUGGUUUUGGAUUGGUGUGGAGUUGGACAUUUUCACUAUUUUUCUAUCUACAAAUUUUUGAUUCAUAUCAGGAGAUUUCAUUACAAGAAGAAUAUUCAAAAAAGUUUCAACCCCCAAAAAAAAAAUAUAUAUUCUUGAGUAAGGAUAUUAUAAUAUGUGUAUUGUCAAUUGUCGGGACGUGUGGUAGUGAUGGUUUAAGAUUUCCACUAAGUCGAGGUUUAAGUGAUUUAGUUAAAAGGAUAAGUUUCGAACCAAUCACAUUGUAAUUAUGUUUUAACUGAUGAAUAACUUCUUAUCCAAAUCAAUAUAUGGUGUCAUACCAAAAUUUGACUGUCAAAAAAUAUUAUGCUACACAUCAGUAAAUCACUAGAGCAUUUUUUACUCAUGAUGACAUAUAGAAUGAAUUCAAAAAAACAAAAAUUUGAUGAAUUUUGUGAGAAUACAAAAAAAAAGACUGGGAAAGAAUUAGCAAUCACUAACUUUACUAGAUCAAAUCACAUGUAUACACUGUGUAGAGUAUUAUUUGUUGAUUUGGGGAUACAACUAUACUGAUAUUGAACAAAUAAUUAAUCUGCAAGAAUCAUAACCAGAGUUGUAUUCAUGGAAAUAAAUCUUGUGUGUUUUGGUACAUAUGAAUAAUGCUAAUGACGGCCUAAUACAAAAUGUGAAUACAGAUUCCAUAAAAGGAAAAGAAUCCAUCUAGAGGAAGAAAAAAAUCAUCUGAAAUUUACACAAGAGAAGGUCGAAGAAGAAGUAGCAGCCUUGAGACCAACAACACCAGAUCUUCUCUUCAUCCAUUUUGGAUCUAGUGAUAACGAUGGCGAAGAGGGAACGUGACGAAUCGUAAACGAAGAGGACAGUGUUGAUGACGAAACAAAGAGAUUGGUGAUGUCUCGAAGAGGCUUCCUAGAUCUUUUUCUUUUUAUUCUGAUUUGGGUUUUUUCUUUAUCAAUGGAUGAAGAAGAAUCUAGAGGCUUGGCAAGUAUCGUGGCCAUGUUUGAAGGUGGGAUAUUCUCUUUGUUGUCGUUUUGAGACUUCAAAUCAAGAGCAGCCAUUGAUGUAGCAGAGAAGAGAUAAGAGAAAGGGAGAGAGGUGAAUUGAGGAUCGAAGGAGGAACUGAGGAAAUGUAUAUGAAGAAUGUGAAUAGGAGGGACUUUGAACCAGAUUUUUAGAAGUGACGGAUCUGAGAUUUUGAUAUUUGAAGUUUUCAUUUUGUCUUGUGGAGGGAUUUUUCAGAAUUGUUCUAAAAAUUCUGAAACUUGAAAGAGGGCUCUGUGUUAUGGAGGGAACGAAGAUGAUUCUCUGUUUCCUCUAUUUUGGUUUGAAAUUUUUCGUUUUGGUUAAGAAGUUGUUGACUUUUGACUUUUAAGACCAGACGCCGUAUUGUUUUUUACGCGCCAUUUGAUUUUAGUAUCUGCGCCAAGAGGAUGGAACUACCGGGUUUUGUUGUUUAAAAAAAAUUAGAAAUAUAAUUUUAUCAAAUUGGGCUCAACAACACUGAUUCUUAUUGAGCUCUAUUUUUGAGCCCAUAUAGUUUUCAGCUGUAAUGUACAUGUACAUUGUACCACUACUUGGUUUUGGGACCUUCAUGUAUUUGUGUGUGUAUACAUUCAAAACUCAUUUCAUUUUGAAGUGGCCCUAACCAAAUAUUAAGUUCAUUAACCAUCUAAACUCGUGUAGUUCGUCUAAUGUCUAUGGUGAAUUGGUACGUCUUUCACGUGUAUUGAACUCUUUCAUUAUCAGUUAACCAUCAAACUUUAAUAUGUUAUACAUUUUACGUGUUUUCUUUAUUGUCCAGCAAAAUGAGAAAGAGGAUCGAGUUACCUGAACUAAUAUGACGUCAACCUUUCUGAACUUUUCACGAUUACGUGUUGGUGUAAAUCCACAGAACCUAUAUAACCUCGGCCCAACAGGACAUGUCACCAGGUCAAGAAAUGAACAAUCGGAGUAUACUUGAGCCUUCAGAUAAUAUCUCUUGAGAUAGUUUCAGAGAAAAUAAAAGGGUCAUGAUUCUAACCUCUUAACGCAAUAAAGUUGUUUGAGUGUUCAUCAUGUGUCCCUUAUAGUCAACUUUGCUGCGAACUUCUGGACCAUACGAAUGUUUCUGAUUAUUAAGGGUAAAACAUAAAAGAGUCUCCAUCGCUAUAAGCGAUACGUAGACAAAAUCCAAUUAACAAAGCAAUAAAAAGGAUAUCUUGUCUUCAUAUAAAGGAUGGUUGAGCAUCAGCAGCUUAUUAUUGUUUACUACAGCACGGACAAGUAACUCUUUCGCUUCCUCAUGUUUCUUCUUCAGAAUGUUGCAAACCUGCAAAUGGAACAAAAAGGCAUAACUAUAAAGAUUAGAAAUGUAUGUACUAUGAGAAUGUUCCUGAUCAAGAAGAGGCCUCUGCAACCUCUGUUUAUAUAUUUACAAACUUACAUUGUCGAGUUCUUUUGUAUAUGCUUCAGCUUUCUCUAUGUUAUCAGCAUUCUCCGUGAUUGGGAUCUCCAGAUUUGCCAUGUUUAUGUUCUGGUAAUGAGACUUAGUCCGUGGACUUUCCUUGACAAGCUGUUUGGUUGUAUUAUUAUCUAUUCUACUCUCUUGGCUACAGAACUGGAAAAAUCAAUUGCAUGACAAGUGUUAAGUAAACUAAACAAAAAAAGCUUGUCAUGAUAACAAUAAUCAAAGAUCUGUUGGUGAAUCGAACCUUUCCUUGUUCAGCUCUAUGUGUGAGCUCCUCAACGUUCCUGUGCAAUCUCAGCCGUUUUAUAUGUAAGAACUAAUGCAGCAAAAUUGUAGAUAUAGUUUAGAUAACUUAAAUUUGAAACCUGUUUUCUUUUGGCGGCAUGGAAAAGCGUUUGAGUUGUGGCUCCAAUGAUCUAUCUUCAUCCUGUGGAAAAACAAAACUUUUCUUCGAGCUCCAGAUAUGUUCAGGAAAUAAGAACAUUGAAAAUCUGAGUCGAAGAAUAAACCAUAUCAAGAGCUUUCCGCUUUAAAGAAGACGGGCAGUGCAGGAUUUGCACUUUGUCUCUAGGAACCAAAUGAUGAAUCUCAGAGAUUUUUUUAACUGGUGCUUCGGUAUGUUUCUCCUUGGGUAGGGAAGAGCUAACUUCUGGUUGCACUCCAGAACUGGGUUGGUCUUUAUUUACUCCAAUGGUCCUAUAGCAAAACAGAUAACCAAAUUUAGAUUGAUAUAUAUAUAUAUAUAUUAAGUUUCCAUACUAGAACCUGUUGUGGGCUCCUUUUGUACCUUUGAGUUUUCAAGGCACGCAGAUCAGACAUAAUAUUUCCAAGUUUAGGCCUUUCAAGAGAUACGAUCUUGGACGUCUGCAAAGAUUCGGCUCCAGAACUCAAAUGUUUGCUUAGUUUCUGAGUCAAGCUAGAAGCAUCAAGUUUUGAGCUGUGACAAUUCAAAUGCAAGGAAGCUUAAUACAUAACAUUCUAAUAAAAGUUCCUCGAGAUAAAAUGUAAUGGCUACUAGUUUAUUCUUUAUACAUAAUGAGUGCACAUUGGGUAGUAACUUGUUCAAGGACCAUUGCAAGAUAUAGGAAUCAAAUGAAUUAAAAUGACUAUCUCACCUUAUAUUGAUCUGCAAUAUGGACUUCUCUCUAGUUGUAUUUUUAGCUUGCAGCUUUAAAUGAUCCAUCUGUCCAGCCACAUUUUCUACGGUCUUGGCAUUUGAAUUGUUCUUGUGGAUGAUCUUUUCAUGAGAACUGCUGGUAAAAAUAAUUGGACUUGUCCCCUUGCUUAUAUAUAUAUAUAUAUAUAUAUAUAUCAUCUUGAAAGAAAGAAAGAAGCUUAUUCUUAUGUUUGAGCAUAAAAGCCCAGAACAUUACCUGCUUGUAUUAUCAUUUGGUGCAUCCUUUUCGGAAUCUGUGUUGACAAGCUCAACUGGAGAUGUUCUAGUUGUGGAUCCAGAUAAUGCAUCUUUUAUAUCAUGUCUGCAUGGUGGAGAGAAAGGAAAGAGUGAAACGAUAGUUACACAGAGGGCACAGAAAAGAAAAUACUACCUCCUAUCAUUUGUAGGGUUCAUAUUCGACCCAAUCCUUUCUCGGGUAACCGACUGAAUCUCUGUAUGAUUUGGAGUGGACUCCAGCACAUGGGAUUGUGGUUUUUCUGUCUUCUUAAAAAAUUUGGAUCUGAUAAGUCCUGAGUCUUUAUUUUGCAUGGCCCUCAAAUCAUUGAUCCCUGACACGCUGCACUUAGUUCGCAGAAUACAGCAAUUGUUAAAUAUAUUUCAUCUUCAAAGUAUACUGGCAGAAUGACAAAUUCGGGGAAUAAUAAAAUUAGUUUUGGUUUCUAACCUGUGGGAUGGCUUUAGUGGUAGCUUUGCACUUAAAUCUUGUACCUGAGCAGUUUGGCUUGGACGAGUGGAUAAUUUCCCUGAGAGAGUUGUUUGAGAAUGUCCGGUGUCUAGAUCACACAGUGUUCCUCUAGUGUGAUCCUGUAUAUCUGCUUGAGAGUCUGUACUCAUUUCUUCCUGUUGAUGUUCUAUCUUGUCCAAACAUAACUCAAAAGAGAUGUUUGGUUCAGUUUGUUCAUUCUUCUCAUAACUUGAUUCCAUAGUGGAAAUCAUUUUCUUAUUGGCACUCUGUUCUGGAUCUUUAGGAUAGUCUUCUUUUGUGCCAGGCCUGUAGAUAUCAUGGAUACCUGGACUGGUUUCUCUGCUUACUGAAGUAUUAGCAGUCUCGGAAGCAUGUAAUGGAGUGGGUUCUGCGGUUUCAUUAGAAGGACGUGCUUCAUCUAUUUCUUCAACCAUUGAAGAUGAUGUCUUCAAUGGUGAAGUGUUUAUGAAUUGAGGUCGGGUCAUCUUCAAUGGUGAAGUGUUUAUGGAUUGAGGUCGGACAGACAUUGUAUGAGUUCUUGAGGUUUUUAUUCUUGGACCUUGAGGUGAUUCCACCGCCUCCAAAUUUUCCAUGCUCUCUAAUGUAGCUUGAUCUGAGUGAGUGCUACUAUCAACAACCAUAGUAGCUGUUUUCUUGGAACUUUGGUUCUCUUUUUCAACUGAAGCCUUUACCUGAACAUCUGAAUUUGCCUUGGAGGGAGCUUGUUUAGGUAUAGGUACCUCUGGACCAAAGUCCAAAUCGUCUGACUUAUCAAUCUUUCUUCUAGCAGAAAUUUCUUCGGUAUCCGUGUUCCUGCUCGUAGUCUUGCCUCCCUUCUUCGGUGGGCUUGAACCAAGAUCAAAGUCGUCUAACCUGCUCGCAGAAAAACAUGGUGGUAAGUAAUUUCUGAUGACAGAGAUAAUUUUAAACAAGGAAAUUGAUUUAUUGAUGGAUUCAUACCCAUCAAAAUCAUAAGAGAAGGCAAAUGGAUUUUUUUUCUGUUUUGAAUUUUUACUAGAUUUAUCAUCAGAGCUUUCUUUCGUUUUUGUGGUGUUCUUAGCUGGGCUUGAGAAGUCAAAAUCUGGCAUGUCCAUUUUGAAUGAUGAUAGAUUUCCAAAAUCUCCAUCUAGAUCGAAACCCAUAUCCCUGAGAAAGAGACAAAGAAACAGAACCAUAUGAGAUGCUAGGCCUUGUUGUCAAGCAACAGAAACUUAGAGUAGUAAUCCAAUGAUAAAGGAGGGAAAAUUCCAUAAUUAAAAUAAUAGCUAGGGUGCAGACAUGGUUUAAGAAGCAUAUCAUAUAGGUUACACUCACAGCUUGAAGGCAUUCUUCUUAUUUUUUGCUGGUGAGUCAAAGCCAAAAUCCAUUGGGUCAUCUGUCAUUGACUUAAAGUUCCAUGUGUCCUUUUCCAUUUCUUUGUCUGCAGGUAAACCAUGGAAAUGAAAAUAAAAUGGACAGCUUAAUCACCUGUUUCAACCAUGGGAACAUUUUAUGGUCUCUAUAUAUGCCACAAAAAUCCACAGCUGGCCAAAACUUGAGGAAUUGAACAAUGAGUAAGAUAAAGAAGACUGAAAGAUAGCCUGCAUGAUCUUUCUGAUGUAACGUUUUUAACAUCAAGUUAUCAAGAAAGUCUAUUUCAUGAUUCCUUCUCUUAAAUGGUAUUUUUUUCCACAAGUGGCAAGAAGGCAUUCCACUAGCAAUUCUAUAUUUUGUGUGAUGUUUUGGAUUCAAUAAUUUUCAGAUCAUAGAAACCAUACCGAGCAUUAGAUCUUUCUCCUGAAUAUCUGUAGAACUUUUUUUAGCAGAUGAAGACAUGGCAAAAUCUGUUCAGUAUUACUCUUGAGUCUUGACAACCAACUGCAAUGAAAAAAAACUAUCAUCACAAUCAUUGUAGCAAUUACUCACGAAAGUACCUUAUCUGUUAUGUUAAGAUGAACGCAAAUCAACAAAAAUAUAAAUCACGCUGCGUCACAAACUAAACUAGCAUAGAAGAACAAAUGUUAUCACACAAAUCAUAAGUUCCAUUAAAAGUCCUUCUAAAACUAUCACUAAGGAGGAAACUAACAAAUCAAACAGUGUGAUUAUCCGAGAAACAAUCUAAACAAAGAAGAACAGUAGCAGGAAUCACGUUAUGAGAUUCAACACCAAUUUAACAAAACAAGCCAUGCGAUUCGUAGAUUUUAGGUAAGGAGACGCCACUCGAGACUAUUUUCAGGAAGAACGAGCCGUACGAAACUAAAUUUAGGAGACAGAGUAUCAGAAGAGAAAAUCAAACAUACUCUUGACAUUAAUCGAACAUUUCUACGCACAAUCGCUACCUCUAACAUAGAAAUGUUCACCGAUUAUGAUCAACGAUCGUCAAAUCGUCGAACCUUAACUAACCGAAAAGCCAGAACAACGCAGAAGAGUGAGAGAUUCUACUCAAUCGAUGAGCAACGAGUGUAGAUUCUUACCGGUUGAAUACAGUUGUAUCGGAGGUAGGCGCUAACGGUCAACGUUCAACGGGAACAAUGGCACCGGAGAGAAAAUCGCCGACGGAGGAAAUCGGAGGGGGAAGAUUUGAAAUUAGCUGGACUGCGAAUGAUUUUGAUUUGGGCCUUUGUGAAACAUUUAUAUAUUUGAGCUAUGACCAAAGAGCCCACCUUAAAAACUGAAUCAUAUCUAUUUGAAAAAGAAAAGAAAAAAGUUGAGUAAAUUGAAAUGUUAUAGUUUUACGGGGACUGAAUUAAUAAAUAUUUAUUUUCGAAAACGGAAAAAUUGAAAAAGGAGAUAGAGAAGGGAAUCUAUCUUCUUAUCCUGACCACACAGAAAGCAAACUUAAACCAAUAGAAACGAAAUUUUUCUAAGGAGAAGAAAGCCAAUCAUAAGCUGAGUAAAACUCUAAGCUCACACAAAAAUGGCGUCUCUUCUUGGAACAUCUUCCUCCGCAAUCUGGGCUGCUCCUUCGCUUUCUUCUUCUUCUUCUUCUUCAACACAUUCGACCGCCACCAUUUGCUUCAGGCCAGGUAACCCAACUCUCUCGAAACCUUAGACGUUACUGUUUUCACAAUUCAAAAUCCUGGUGAUUCGAAGUGUUGAGUUCUUGUUUACAGGGAAAAUCUCUGGAAGAAACUUCAAUGCAGGAAUCCAAAUGAGGCCAAAGAAGAACAGGUCUCGUUACCAUGUCUCGGUUAUGAAUGUAGCCACUGAAAUCAACUCUACUGAACAAGUAUGUGUGUAUUUUCUGAUGAUGUUUUCUCAUAAAGUUUCAGACUUUUCUUGAUUUAUAAAGCUUAGGAACAUGUAUAUGAUUGUUGUUGAUGUGAUGGUGGUUUUUGGGUUUUAGGUAGAGAAGUUUGAUUCAAAGAAGAGUGCAAGGCCGGUUUAUCCAUUUGCAGCUAUUGUAGGGCAAGAUGAGAUGAAGUUAUGUCUUCUGUUGAAUGUGAUCGAUCCAAAGAUUGGUGGUGUGAUGAUUAUGGGAGAUAGAGGAACUGGCAAAUCUACAACUGUUAGAUCAUUAGUUGAUCUGUUGCCUGAGAUUAAGGUAGUUGCUGGCGACCCUUAUAACUCGGACCCGAUAGAUCCUGAGUUCAUGGGAGUUGAGGUAAGAGAGAGGGUUGAAAAGGGAGAGAAAGUUCCUGUUAUUGCAACUAAGAUCAAUAUGGUUGAUCUUCCAUUGGGUGCAACAGAAGAUAGAGUUUGUGGAACAAUCGAUAUCGAAAAGGCUUUGACAGAAGGUGUAAAAGCCUUUGAGCCUGGUUUGUUGGCUAAAGCUAAUAGAGGGAUUCUCUAUGUUGAUGAAGUUAAUCUCUUGGAUGAUCAUUUGGUUGAUGUUCUUUUGGAUUCAGCUGCUUCUGGUUGGAACACGGUUGAGAGAGAAGGAAUUUCGAUUUCUCACCCGGCUAGGUUUAUCUUAAUUGGUUCAGGAAAUCCGGAAGAAGGAGAGCUUAGGCCACAGCUUCUUGAUCGAUUUGGCAUGCACGCACAAGUAGGGACCGUUAGAGAUGCAGAUUUACGAGUCAAGAUUGUCGAGGAGAGAGCUCGUUUCGAUAGCGACCCAAAGGACUUCCGUGAAACUUACAAAACCGAGCAGGACAAGCUUCAAGACCAGAUAUCAACUGCUAGGGCGAAUCUUUCUUCGGUUCAGAUUGAUCGGGAAUUGAAGGUGAAGAUCUCUAGGGUAUGUUCGGAGCUCAAUGUUGAUGGGCUGAGAGGAGACAUAGUGACUAACAGAGCAGCAAAGGCACUUGCAGCACUCAAAGGAAAAGAUCGAGUAACUCCAGAUGAUGUUGCAACUGUUAUCCCUAAUUGCUUAAGGCACCGUCUGAGGAAAGAUCCACUGGAAUCCAUUGAUUCAGGAGUCCUAGUUUCCGAGAAGUUUGCCGAGAUUUUCAGCUGAAUAGGAGAUUUGAUUCUGUGAUCAUUUUCUUAACUUUUCCUACUCUGUAAACGGUGAGAAGAACAAAAAACAACAAACAGGCAAAUCUGAUUGAAUAUAGAGUCUAUGUUUUCUUCAUUAAGUUGAGCUGUUCAAAUUAUAUAAACUAAGUAAAAUUCUGUAUUUUUUGUUUUGCAUCUACAAACGUUCUUGCAUUGAUUAAAGCUGUAAAACUAUCAAGAAACGUUGUCAGAAUCAACUGUUAUUAUGUUUUGAAUUGCUGGUGGUAGGCUUGGUGCCUAGAAGGACAUAGCAUUUUGCCGGUUCUGGUAAAAGUGUGGAGCAACUUCUGUCAGCCAAGAAGGAUUUAUAGUUACGACAUUCCGCAUAUAUUGACGCUCUGUAGAGACAAUAGAUUGGUAUACCACCCAUUUCGGAUUCACCCUGAAAAUUGUAUAUACAUAUACUAGAUAAGCUUUCACAAUCAAAAGAAAGAUCUUUAAACGUUGUGAUGUUAUUGAGGUUUUUGCUAGAACCAUAGCAAUAAGAUUACUACUAACCUGAAUAAUACGGAUGACGGGUGAAUAUAAACUUCUUCAGAGCCUCUAAUGGUCUUGUAUACCCCAUUGCUGUGUGGCUAAAACACCAUAACACAAAAAAAAUAUGAAAUUUUGAUUUCUCUAAAAAAACCAAAAAAGAUAUGUAGAAACAGAAAUUUGAAAUGGGUUACUCACUUCUAAGCGGCAUGCAUUGGCGAAAAACCCUGCAGUCACAGCUUUUCUCACAGCCUGAAAUAAGGUAACAUUAAAAACCUGCAACCUUUUUUCAGUUGAAGCAAGGUGGUAGGGUUUCCUACCUCCAUGUCUCUGUCACAUGAUUUCAAGGUGAUGCCUAAUCUCCGAGCAAUCCGUUUGAGUUGAUCCCUGAUUUCAACCACUUUUUUCUGCGAAUGAAACAAAAACAAAUUGGAAAUGGAGAAAGGAAAAUAAUGACUAAAUGCCAAUUCUGUUAUUAUAAGCACCAUGGAUUGGUAGUUGAGGAAAUUCUUGUAACACCACUGUGAAGACUUUUUUGACUCAAGAAACCCUUUGUAUACAUUCAGGAAUGUGACAUGGUCACCCUGGAUAGACAAGAACAAUGAUUUUACUCAGUAAAAAAAAGAUUUAUAGAGAUAUAGUUUGCUCAAGGUUAUAUAUACUUAUAUGGUAAUAUAUACCUCCGCGGCUGCAAAUCUCAGUUUGGCCUCAUCCUGUUCUUUCUGUACUCCCCUGGCAAUGACCCAAACGGACUGCAUAUACAUCCCACAGUUUACACAGUUUCCAUUUAGUUUCAAAUCCCAUAAUUCAGAUGGAAAGCAAAAAAUUACAUAUGCAAUAAGGUUCAUACUUCUUAUGCAUUUAAAGAGAAGAAAAAUUUAGUAGAGGAAACAGAGUGAAGAGCCGCCUUUACCUGGAUAGAGAGAACUGCCGCUAUUGUAAUGAUCUCAUCUGAACAACCAAGCUCACUUGAAGCUAAAAUCAUUUUUGAUAUCAUUGGGUCCUAGCAAAAAUGACAACACUGAGACAUGUUAAAAUGCAGUAAGGAUGAAAAUGAAUUUUAAAAAUAACUCAAAGUUAGGAAGAUAAAGUACCAGUGGAAGUUCUGCAACUUGGAAUCCUGUUGGCGAUGUGAGUUUUGCAUCAUCGUCGAGGAUUUGAAGUGAAUAGAGUACUUCAAGUGCCCGGAUCAUUGCUUGUGGGGAUGGAGGUGAAGGCCAAUCAAAACCCAAUAUAUUAUCUACGCCCAAAGCCUUAAGCUAUAUAAAAAAAAAAAAUCAACAGAACUUGAACAUCUCAGAACAAGAACUUCCUCUCAUCUGGAUAUUUACAAACUGGAUACAGUGAAAAGCUUGAAAUAAAAAGAAACUUAUCUCUGGUUUUGUGUAACACAUCCCUAAUUGUGAGUUCUUACAAAAUUAUAUGACAAAAGCUGAGCAAUUUUGUACCUGUAUAACUGUAGAAACAAGAUUCGACCUCUGCAUCUCCGGUAUGCCGUCUCCAGGCAUUUGGUUGAGAAAAUAAUCCUCAGUGUAAAGCCUAGUUACCAUAAAACAAUUAUUAGGAAGAGGAUUAAUAAGCACAACUAAACCAUUAAAUCAGACACAAUUUAGUCACUUUUAUAAACGGAUAGAGAAUUAAUAACCUGUAACACUUCCCAGGUCGGACUCGCCCAGCCCUACCAGACCUUUGUCUAGCGGAUGCUUUGGAUAUGGGUGCCACCACAAGACUUUCGAUAUCUGAAAUCUGUGAGGGUAAGAAAUGUUAGAGAUGAUUCAGAAAUGUUCAAUAUAUUACAAAGGACAGAACUAAAAGAUAUAAAAAAAAUGGAGAUGGACUUACUGGGUUAUAGAACUUUUGCUUUGAGAAACCACUAUCAAUCACAUAGACAACUCCCUGAAUUAAAAAAAGCGAAACAGUUAUUGUCAGUGAUGAUUCAACAAUAUAUGUAUGAGAGAAAAAACUUGGCAACGAAAAGACAAUAAUGAGGAAACCUUGCCUCUAAAGUCAAUGAUGUUUCUGCAAUAUUUGUUGAGAGUAUAACUUUUCUCUUUCCUCUGGGAGUUGGAGUAAAGAUCAAUUCCUGAUAUAAAGAAAUGAGAAAACAACAACUCCAUCGUUUCAGUUUUUCAAAUACUCUAGAAAGAAUGGUUUGGGUUGUCUAGAGCCUUGCAACAAAAAUCAACCUGUUCUGAUCGAGAAAGCCCUGAAUAUAAUGGCAAAGGUAGCAGUCCUGAAAUAGAUGUGAAUUUUAUUAUAGUGCUGAAAACUGAAGGAAAAUGCUAAAGUCGAUUAACAAGAUCUUACAUAUGUGUAAUAUAUACAGGUAUUAUACCUGAAGAAUUCUUUUGAUUGCUAUGAGCUUCUUCUUCAAGAAGUUUUAUUGCAGUUUCAAUAUCAUCUUGACCCGUAAGAAAUACAAGAACAUCCCCAGGUGGCUCCUGAAAAUAAGAAGAUACAAUUUAAAGAUAACAGUCCAAGGAAAAUAAUUUACUACAACAGUUUAACACAUUAGAUGGUUAUAAAACACCAAAUCAAAGUACCCGCUCAUUAAUCAAUAAUAUCGUUGAAACAACUGAUCGGAUAUAGUCUGAGACAGGCUCCUCAACAUAGUGAAUUUUCACACUGAAGCCUCUGCCCUAAGAAAAUUUCACCAACAAAACAAGAAUCAGAAACUAUGACAUAUAAAUAAGGGUUAAGAAAGAAUAAUCUUAAGCAAGAUAAGAGUUACAAAAAUACCUCGACAGAUAAGAUUGCAGGUUCCAACUUUGGUCCCUGGGUACUACCUUCUAACGCAUGCCGUUUUUUACUAUUUUUUCCAUAAUGAAUAAGAAUAUAUAUUUCAUUAGUGAUUCCAAGAGAACGAGACCCAGGGCAAAAAAAAUCAUAAGCAUUAAAAGAGAUCAGAACCUGGAGUUGAAGAAAUUGAACAUUGCUUUUGCUUCGAUUGUGGCGGACGAUAUAAUCAGGCGUAGCUCAGGACGGCGACGUUGUAUCUAGGAUUAACAAUUUAUAGGACUUGAGAAAAGCAAACUGUAAACAAAAAAGGUUCAAGAAAAUCUAAUCGUCUAUGUCUUAUUGCUAUACCUUUUUUAAGAGACCCAGUAAAAUGUCCGUUGAAAUAGAUCUCUCAUGAGCUUCAUCUAUCAUAAUAACACUACACAAUGACAUAUGAUUAGAUAAGGUUUACCAGCACCAUUGACUGACCUAAAUUAUAAUUCAAACGAGAUUAUGCAGUGCGAAAAAAAUCAUUACCUAUACUUUGUCAAGAGGGGAUCCUCCAUCAUCUCUCGGAUUAAAACCCCAUCUGUGAGAAAUUUCACACUAGUCACACCCUGUUUUAACCAAGCAGAAGAUCUUUGUAAGCAUCACCAAAAUACUCCAUACAAUUAAGGAUAAGUAGAAGGAUGUUAAGGGAAGAGUCUCACAGAAGUUGUAUGAUCUUCAAAUCGAAUUGUGUAGCCAACUUCAUUCCCAAGAUUAACUCCCAUCUCUUCAGCCACUCUCGCAGAAACCGCCUAAGUCAAUUACAAAACAAAGAGUAUAUAUAUGAUCAAGCACGAAUUGCAAAACUUGAGCUGAGACAUCACUCUUCAAACUUGAGCUGUAAGGUUUGGUGGAGGAGAAGAAAACAAACCUGGACAGCUAAACGUCUUGGCUGUGUGCAAGCAAUAACUCGGCCUCCUUCAGCCCAUCCAGCUUCUUUCAGGUACUACAAAUUAUUAUAAACAAAGCGGUAUCAACACUUGCGGGCAAGAACCAAGAAGAUUCUGCUAGUGGUUGAAUUGCAGAUAUCUCCAGUUUCUCCAACUUCCCAAACAGCUAGUGUGAGCUUAAACAUUGUAGGAUACUGAAAAAUUGAGCAAGUUUUAUGCCUCUCUAGCUACAUUUCACAUAUGUCAGCUAGUGACUACUACAAUCCAAAUUCACAACCUUCAACUCUAAUCAAAAUUUGCCAAUUGGUCUUAGAACCCUGAAAUUAGCAAAGCUAGGUGCUUUCCCCAAAGAAAAUAAAACCAAGAACAAAGAACAAAGAAGAAACCUGAGGAAUUUGAGUGGUUUUACCACUGCCCGUCUCGCCAACGAUAAUGGUGGUAGCGUGAUUCUCCACCAAAUAGAGAAUCUCAGUUCUGUACUUGUACACAGGCAAUCUCUGUCUUUGCUUCUCUAUAUUCGCAUACCCAUAACUACAAAUUUCGCACCAUUAAGUUAUAAUCAACCGCAGAACAAGUACGAGUACUACCAACAGCAAUUAAGAGAGAAGAAGCUGGCAUACCUAGAAGAAGAAGAGGAUGCGAGAUUGUUGGACAUGAACACUAUGCCUCCUUCACCAUCAUCUUCGAAACGCGGUUUCUCAGUUCCUGGUUUCCAAAACGCCAUUUUUUCGCCCAACGAGCUUUUGGCUUCUUCGGUUGUUUCAGUUUAUGUAUCGGCUCUUUCUCUCUAAUAUGCCUUUUGGUUGUUUACGGCGGCGGUGAUCCCGGUUACCGGCGAGGUUCGGUUCUAAUUUUAGGCAUUUGGUUUAAAUUAUUUCGGUUCAAAUCCAAAAGUUUAAAUUUGGUUCGGUUUAGUCUCGGUUAUAUGUUCAUCCUUCCCUGGACUCUAUAUUUAACAAAUAGAAGAAAAUGAAUUGUCUUGCUUCUUCUGCGUUUCCAUCUUGCCACACCACUCCACUGCGCAACAAGCUCUCAACUUUACUCCUCCGCCGCAACCAAAGUCAGCAAAUUCACCGUCGGAAAUAUCAGAUUAAAGCAAUGAGAGCUGUAAUCCAGAGAGUCUCAUCUUCCUCUGUUACUGUGGAUGGUCGAAUCGUGUCGGAGAUUGGUCCUGGUCUCUUGGUUUUAAUCGGAAUCCAUGAAUCAGAUACUGAUUAUGAUGCCGAUUACAUGUAUGAUUGCUCAAAAUUUUCAGUUUUAGCUUGAUUCUUCCAUUUCAAAGUUCGUUAUAAAGUUUUCUGAAAUCAUUUUGUAGAUGUCGAAAAGUUUUGAACAUGAGACUGUUCACUAAUGAAACCACUGGCAAAGGAUGGGACCAAAAUGUAAGUUCUGAUAGUUAUAUUAACAAUUUUGAUUUAAGGGAUUCAUAAAAAUGUAAACUUGGAUUUUGCAGGUAAUGCAGAGGAAUUAUGGAGUUUUACUUGGUAAUGGCAUCUGUUUGUUAUAUCUUCUGAUUAGAGAAUUCUUUAGCUUCUGGUUAAUGUACUGAGAUUUGUCUCCUUUGCUUGCUCUGGUCUUUGGAUCGUUUGUUCGAACAGUUAGUCAGUUUACAUUAUACGGAUUCUUGAAAGGUAACAAACCCGAUUUUCAUGUUGCAAUGCCUCCUGAGAAAGCAAAACCAUUUUAUGCUUCUUUAGUCGAGAAGUUCCAGAAAGCAUAUAAUCCUGAUGCUGUAAAAGGUAAUACAUACUCUGACUGAUCUUUCUUGAUCAAUUCACUAUUUCUCUUUAGUCUUCCUGAAUUAGUCAACUCUUUUCUUAUAAAAAAAAACAGAUGGUGUGUUUGGAGCUAUGAUGCAGGUAAGAGGACAAUCCUUCCUGACUUGCGUGAUUAUUACAAGUUCUCUUGCUUAUAACACUACUUUUAAUCAUAUUGAAAGGUCAAUCUUGUAAACGACGGUCCAGUCACGAUGCAGCUUGAGUCACCUCAAUCCUCCAAGUAAGCAAAGAUGUUUUGCAUAAGCUUAUCUGGCACUGAUUUGUUACUUAAACAAGUCUUAAUGUGUUUCAGGAAUGAGACAAAGGCAUCAACAUAAUCAUAAAAUCACUCAUCUUGCAUCAGUGAAACUAUGGAAUCUACCAUUCAGGGAGACUCAGAAUUAUAUAUAUUUAUGUGAAACAAUCAUAAUUCAUUGAACUGUAACUGUUAAUUCCUACAUUACAUGUAAUUUCGUUGCUUUUAAUCUAAUGCAAAGCCUCUAGAUUUGCUAAAAUCUUGAUUCCUAGAUGCCUAAUGCUUUAAGCUUUUGCCUUGAGUACCAUUCCUGCAGUAAACAGCACUUCUUUCCCAAAAGAUAGAAUCUCGAUUUUUCUGUAACAAUCAUGAAAGCUUUUGAUUAGACAAAGGAAAGCUAUGUAUCGAAAAUGAACUUAGGGUAAAAGAAACUGCCACUUACUGAUCUACUUGCUUAAGACUAGUAAAUGCAGAGAUGAUAGUAUUGCAUAUCUCUGUUAUAGAGUCUCCGUCACUUGGGUUAGAGAAUGUGAGCCGAGCCUGAUGAUAAUUAAUCAAAAUUAGGACAAGGAGCAAAAAAAAAGAUAAAGCUCUCAGAAUGUGAAAGGAGAAACAAAGAUAUCAUUGUUACCAGAAAGGCAUGUCCGAUGAGGAUCUGAACAAUGUCAGGUCCUAUCUUUUUGGUGAUGUUCUUUGAAUUUGUGCCACUGGAAAAGGUCUUUAAGAUCCCAUUUAGUGUUUUUGGAUCCUCUGCUUGAGGAACGUUUGAUCUUCGGGUACGAACAGAAGGCUGCAACCAAAGAUAGAUUGAUUCAGAGAGAACAAUCAGAGAAUCAACCAAAAGAACAUCAUUGUUGGAGAUGAGGAACAAAGGGGAAUCAGAGGAUUAACAACAAACCUUAGGAAUGUAUUUGGUAAGGUAUUGGAGAACAAUCUCUAGCUUCCAUUUAGGAUCGUCAAAAACCUGCUGGAAAAAUUGCACUCAAGAACCACAGAGAAGUAUUUAGCCAACACAAAGUGGUUUGUCUCUUACCUGAAGAAAGUUUGACAGCAAGUAACCAUUAUAUGUCAGCUCGUCGAGAAUGAUCUCCAUUGCAGGAGUCCUGCAUCAAAAUGGAUCACAAACAUGGCGAAACACACAAUUCAAAAGAGAGGCCAGAAUUUGAAUACCUUAUGCCAUCUCCUCUAGAGGUAAUCCCUUCUAAGUCAGCUUUCUGCUUUGAUGCAUCAAGGUCCAUCAUCUAAACAAGGAACAUAAAAGUGAGAGAAGAGAACUUCAAAUAUAGUAAACUUUAUACUCUGGUUAUAACUUACAACUUACCAUUACUAAAAGUUCCUUCAUAGCAGAAAGCAUGCCCUCGUGCAAUUCUACCAAACUGGUAGACUUUUCAUCAGCAUCAAUGGGUGCACACAUUGUUGAAAGAUAAUCUUUCAUUAGAAGUUUGAAAUUCACUUUUCUUGAAGCCUACAAGUGGAACCACAACACUAAAUCACGGAUAAAGUUAAGGGACUAGACUAGCUUCUGAGCCAUUAAUUAUGGGAAGUACCAGAAGUAGAUUCAGUGAGGACUCCUUUAAAAGACUCCAGUUCAUGGUUUCUGGAGCACAAAAGGACACAAAGCUUCUAAAGUUUUUCCCAAAUUACACAAGAUAAAGAGAAAUCUUGAAACUAUGAAGACACCAUAUGUACCUUUAUACACUUGAUUCCUCGGUGUAAAAUCCAACUUAAGAACAUGAACAAGAUACUUGAACAGGAACAAGUUUCCCAGGAUCUACAGAAUUCCAAAUAAAAGGAGCAAGAAGUGUGAAAGUCUACCAAUUUGUUAAGCUAAGCAAAACAAGGUUUAGAAGAAACAAGUAAGCCAACCUUUAAUUCCGAUUCCUCAGACUCAUUAACUCCUUUGUUCAUGUUUUGAAUCAGCUGCUGAAAAACUGAAAUCACAGAACAAGAAAUCAUGAUAAGCAACAACGAAGAACAGCUAAUUCAAAGAAGAGACAACGUCCUUACAUGGGCUUCUCACUGAUAUUUCCUUUCCAUCAGAAUCAACAUCAGACCCAAAACUAAACGGUGACCAAGCCUGCCAUACAAAACCAUUAACACACAAAUGAAAUCAACCAUCCCUACCACAACAAAAAAUGAACAACAUCCGAUCAGAGCCUUUGUAACAAGUACCUCAUCAACGAUUUCCAACUGAUCAGCUGAAUCAGAUACAUAAACCCAAGGAAACCGCUGAAAACAAAACAAAAAAAAACAUAAGCAAAACAGUGAAACUUUACACACAUUGUGAGAAAAAAAACUACAGAAAAUUUCAUAUAAGUACCUGAUGUAAUUGUGUCAAAAGCUGGUAACUUGCAGUUAUAAGUUCCAACGUUCUACCAAAUCUCAAUAUCCGAAACAUCGCUUGGUACAUUUUGCUUCAAAUUCACAAAACCCCAAAUCAAAAUCAUGACUCUUUCAAGGCAAUGACUUCAAAUUUCUUAUAAAAGUUUCUUAGUGUAAUUUACUUGGUUGGAGGAAUUCCAAUUUCGGGUACAAGUGAAGCAGCACGAACAGCUUCCAGAUACUGCAAACCUAGGGUUUCAUUCAACGGAUCAAUACAGUGAAACAAACAAAGGGAAUUAACGCAAACAUAUACGGAGAUUGAACAAAAUUGAGAAAACGUACGAUCUUCGUUAGCGUCGCGACUGUCCUUAGCGCCAGUCGAAUCAAGCAUGGCCAAGGUGUUUGCUUCCAAGCCACUUCCAUAGCUACUCAUCACUCUGCUAGUAUUGUUACCCUUCGUCGUCUCUUUCGACAUCUUCUCUUCCAAAAAUUCACUAAUUUAUUCGCAGCAGAACCCAAAAAAAAACCCCAAAAUUAGAAGGGAGAGAGCUUCGUAGAACCCUAAUAGUCUAAAGAAGUCAAUUUUCCCGCCAUAUGAGAAAUUGCUCGCAAAAAUAAUUAUUCUUCCACUUAUUGGUGAUUUCGAACCCGGGUUAUUCAGACCAAACAUACUCUACGACAGAUUUAUUGAGUUCUGUAUAUUAAUGCUAAAUAAUCGAAUUUAUUUUUCAAAGAUAAAUUGCUAAUAUUUUUAAUUUGUUGUUAGAUAUUUGUAUAAAUUGUAAAACUAUAUACACCAAUAAUAUUAUAUUAACAUAUUAUCUGAUUUCAUAUAUUUCAUAUUCACAGCUAGCUAGCUGAGAGAUGACUUUGAACUUACAUAUAAAGUUUCUAAACAAUACACUGAAUAAAGAUCUUUUAUCUUUUUCUUUCAAUUGUACACUAUGUUUCAAAGCGUGUGCAAUAUGUAGAUGAUUACAUCUUACUCAAUUUGGAAAUACUAAAUAUAUACAUACAUGAUUGUGUCACUCAUCAUUGUGUCAAAUCUCUAGAGUUCAGACCGUCGAAAGAUCAUAUGAUACGAAUUAUAAGAAGUACUUUUGGAGAAAAGGUUUGCUAAUGACGUAGGUCUUACACUCUUUCUGAUUUCGUUUCACAUUUGAUAUCUUAGAAAAUGUUGCUGGCCAUAAACCUACGAAUACGAUUAUAUACCAAAAUUAAUACGUAUCAACAAACUUAACAAAAUAACUCAAUACUCGUUGAUGCAUAGAAAGCUAAAUCAAUAUUAGGGUUCAUUAGUCCUUUAAAAGCUAUAUAAAAGUUCCCAAUAUAUAUACCAAUACCGUAAUAAUCUGAUCCUAGAUAACACAAUUCUCCAAAACAGAUUUGUGCCUCUCGUGGGAACACAUCAAUAGAUUCUCACAAAGCGUAAAGCUCAAGAUUAUUAUGUUCAUCACAAAAGUAAACACGAAAAUCGUGGGAUAAUACAACACAAAGCCGUCUUUUAGUUACUCGUUAAACAAACAUAUCUGUUUACGUAAGUCUAUUCAACGAGAAUAAAAUUUUACUUCUAUUUUUAAGUAGUUGACAUAAGAAAUGUUUAAGAAUACUCUGCAUCUAGUCUUUUUCAAGAGUACACAAUCUUUAUACUUAAAGAACAAGUAAUAUUACAAUAUUUAGUUAUAGAAAAAAACCCUGAUUUUAUGUGGAACCUAAAACCCUGAAUAAGUUACAUGAAACGAGGUAGUCAGUACCUUGGAUUACAAGUUUCACCAACUGUACUUUCCCAAUUAUCCUGCCGCAUAUUUCCCAUUCAACGUACACACAAAAUCCCCAAAAGCAAAAGUAUCUCUUUAAAAUGCCUUAUGUCUCACCAAUACAAUACUUCCUCUCUUUCUCAUUCAACAAUGGCUUUGGGCAAUGUCCAAGAACCAGACGGAGAGAUCCUAAAGAAUGUUUGGGAGAACUUCAUCAGAAAACCACAAACCGAUAAAACAUCAGUUCAUGUUCCAGAUAUUUCUAGAACUUGGGAAGAGUUGCCUACUCUUGAUAACAUUAACAUACCAGAAGAUUCUAAAGAAUUGCUUCCAAGCCUAGAUAUGUCGAUGGAGGCCGAGGAAUGGACAGAGUUUCUCAACGCCGUUGCUUCUUCCCCAAACAAAACCAGUCAUGACCCAAUAACCAACCCUACCAUUGAGUCUUUCUCUUCUCGGGUUUCUUGCAAUACAAGGAAAUACAGGGGAGUACGGAGACGUCCGUGGGGGAAAUUCGCUGCUGAAAUCAGGGAUUCGACAAGAAACGGUGUAAGGGUUUGGCUCGGAACGUUCCAAACUGCAGAAGAAGCAGCUAUGGCUUAUGAUAAAGCCGCGGUUAGAAUACGAGGGACUCAAAAAGCUCACACAAAUUUUCAGCUCGACACGGUUAUUAAAGCUAUGGAAAUGGAUUGCAGCCCAAAUUACUACCCGAUACACAGCUCAAAUACAUACCAUACCAUAAGAAGCAACCACGGAAUUGGAUCAAGAACAGAAAAAGAAGCGAUCAAGGCUUAUGAUAAAGAUGUUGAUGGGAUGGUUGAUAACCACUGUACCCUAAGUUAUCGAUCAACUCAUGAGGAGUACACGGAGACUUGUGGAUUGCGUGAGAGUGGAGGAGAAACUUGGUUAGGUUCAAGAAAGAGAAGAAGGAGUGAUAAAGAUUUUAUGUUUCAAGAAGUUAAAAUGAAGAAGAUGGUUACCGAAGAAGAGACAUUAUGUGAUGUGUUUGGUUUGUUUGAGUUUGAGGAUUUUGGAAGUGAUUAUUUGGACACGUUAUUAUCUUCUUUUUGACCUCUAAAAAAAACAUUGUAACAUUAAUACAUGUAUAUAUCAUAAUUAUGUCAAGACAUUAGUUUAUUCUAUAUAUAAUAUCUUUACACAAAAAAAAAACUUUAUAUAUAAGAUGGUUUUGUGUAUAACAAUCAAUUCUUGUAAAUUUGUUCGUAUGUAUAUUUGUUGACAAUCAACACAUGAGUAUUGUUUUAUGUGAUUUCCAAACAUCUUUUUUUUACUGUUUUCAGUUUUUGUUUUGUGGCCAAAGAAACUGAUCCAAGUAUGGGACAACAGGAGGGUAAAUUUGGAAUUUAAGUAGAGAAUAGAAAUGCGCAGCUGUGUUUUCUAAUCGGAUUCUCCUAAAACCCUAAAAUACUAAUUGAUCGGCGGUACAUUUACGCCAAGCAUCCACCACAACUCACUCACUCACUUCUAAAGCUUGGAUUCUGGAAUCUAGGGUUUAUCAAUUGUUUUCUUCAAUGGCUUUAACCAACACUAAAAUCCCAUGUUUCGGGCUAACAGCCACAAGAAGUCUCUUAAACCCUUCAAAAUCGCUCUGCUUGGCUCCGAGAGUUUCGUUCUCUGUCUCGUCUACUGAUUCUCUCAAGCUAACCACUUCAAGAAAGGUAAACCUUUUCUAGUUCCAAGCUGAAUUUUUGUUUGUGGGUUUAUGCUGAGAAGCUGUAAUCUGAUGUUUUCCGAUACGAAUUGGCUGCAAAUGGCUAUACUUUAGGUGAUAGCAAUGGCUGGGGAUAGUUCCAGAGUCAUGGAGAUGUCGAAUUUAACUGCAUUAUCGCCUUUGGAUGGACGUUAUUGGGGAAAAGUUAAGGAAUUGGCUUCUUCGAUGAGCGAGUUUGGGUUGAUCUAUUUCAGAGUACUUGUCGAGGUAUUUCCAUUUGACAUUAGCUGUUGUUGUUACUCUCCAAGUGGAGAUUUAUGUUAUGAUUCAUUGAUUGACAAGAUUGUACUAGUUUAGUGUUCUAAAGCACCCAUUUGCCAAAAUCGUUGAUGUUUUUGUAUAUAUGUGCUAGAUCAAAUGGCUUCUUAAGCUUUCAAAUAUUCCUGAAGUCACUGAAGUUCCAAGCUUUAGCAAAGAAGCUCAGAAGUACUUGCAAGGCAUCAUCGAUGGAUUUAGCUUGGAUGAUGCGUUGGAAGUUAAGAAGAUUGAGAGAGUAACAAAUCACGAUGUGAAAGCAGUGGAGUAUUUCUUGAAACAAAAGUGUGACUCACAUCCAGAGAUUGCUAAGGUUUUGAAACUUAUCUCUCACUCUUAGGUUCUUAGGGUUUGGAUGCUUUGAUGCCUUUGACUAAUUCUCUCGUCUUUCAAUCAAUUAGGUUCUUGAGUUUUUCCAUUUUGCUUGUACGUCUGAGGACAUCAACAAUCUUUCCCAUGCUUUGAUGCUUCGAGAAGCACUUAGUUCGGUUAUACUUCCUACCAUGGACGAGCUGAUUAAGUCAAUCUCUUUGAUGGCUAAAAGUUUUGCGUAUGUCCCGAUGCUUUCACAUACUCAUGGGCAGGUAAUGUCAAAAGAGAAGACUUUUACCAAUUUAUCUUUCCGCUUUUUCAGUUUCGGUUCUGUCUAUCACUAUGUUAAAGCACUAGUCAUGAUUUUGAUUCUGUCAAUCUCUUUGGAUUUUGUUUUUCUAUGAAUUAUAAUGUAGCCAGCUUCUCCUACAACCUUGGGUAAGGAAAUGGCGAUAUUUGCUGUGAGGUUGAGCGAAGAAAGGAGAUAUCUUUCAGAAACUAAGAUUAAGGGGAAAUUUGCGGGUGCUGUUGGGAACUACAAUGCCCAUAUAUCCGCAUAUUCUAAUAUCGACUGGCCUCAUGUUGCAGAGGAGUUUGUUACUUCUCUCGGAUUAACAUUCAACCCAUACGUGACACAGGUAUAUAGUUUCUCUUGAUCAGAUUUUCCUAGUGGAGGAUUUUUUGUCGCAUUUAUAUAGUUCUUCAUUGAUUGUUCUCGUGGGUUUUGCAGAUUGAACCCCAUGACUAUAUGGCUAGACUUUUUAAUACAAUUAGCCAAUUCAACAAUAUCGUAAUCGACUUUGACAGAGAUAUAUGGAGCUACAUAUCUGCAGGGUACUUUAAGCAGGCAAGUAUUAAUAAAUGAUAAAUAAAAUAUGUCGAAUUAUUUGAAUGAGAAAGGGAAAAUUGUCUCAUUGUUUGAAAUUUUGAUGCAGACAACUAAAGCGGGUGAAAUCGGAUCAUCGACAAUGCCUCACAAAGUGAAUCCUAUUGACUUUGAGAACAGCGAAGGGAAUCUAGGUAUAGCAAAUGCACAGCUUGCUUUUCUCAGCAUGAAGCUUCCCAUUUCACGAAUGCAGGUCUGACCAAUUUUUUUCAUAUCAAGUGUCUCCAGUAUAUUUUCUAACACUAAUGUACAAAUAACCCUGAAGAUUAAAUGUACAAUCUGCAGCGUGAUUUAACCGAUUCAACUGUCUUGAGAAACAUGGGUGGAGCUUUAGGACACUCCCUUCUCGCUUACAAGAGCGCGAUUCAGGGAAUCGGGAAGCUUCAGGUAUUGUUACCGUAUCCCUAAGAUUCGUUCCACUUGUCAGAAACUAAGAAUGUUCUUGAUAUAGGUUAAUGAAGUUCGGUUGAAAGAAGAUUUGGAUGAUACUUGGGAAGUCCUUGCUGAACCGAUACAGACUGUAAAUUUCUUAACUUUAUAGUCUUUGAUAUCAAUUUAAGUUAUUCUAUGUAUUGCUGAAUUAUUAUAGUCACGAAAUUGUUAUGGUAUCAAAAAAAGGUGAUGAGGAGAUACGGUGUUCCAGAGCCGUAUGAGAAGCUGAAGGAACUAACAAGAGGAAAAGCUGUGAAUGAAGAAAGCAUUAGAAAGUUUAUCAAAGGUUUGGAUCUGCCUGAAGAAGCAAAAGACCAACUUUUGGAGCUAACUCCACACACAUAUGUUGGCGCUGCUGCUGCAUUGGCGCUGGCCGUGGAUGAAGCUGUGCAUUUGGGACAUUGAUGAAGAUCGAAUCGGUGGUAGAUUGUGCUCUUGUAUUAUGCUAUUCUUUUCCAAAUCCGAUAGUAGAAGAAAGUCAAUUUAUAGAUCGAUGGCUUAUACAUUUUACAAUGUUGAGAAAAAUCUUGUAUUGUUAUGUUAUUUUUUUCCUCUUUAGGUUUUUGACCAUUACCAAAUGAAUCACAACCUCUCUUUUUUUAUCUCUUGAAUUAUAAGGUGUGGUCAAUGAUUCUCAAACCAAUAUUAAAUUUGGUAGUUAAACAGGUCAUAUAAUGAAACUAAUUACAUUAUAGUCAAAUAAUAAAGAGUUCACAAGUUGAUUUUUUUUUCUUUCAAUUUGAGUGGUUUUUGUUUUUUAUAACCAAGUGUUAUUUAUCAAAAUCUAGUCAAAUAACAUAUACCAGAAAACUAAUUGUGAAAAUAUUGUUAGUCAAUUAAGUAAUUCUAUUUAUAGCUAACAUUUACAUGCACUGACACAUAUUUUUAUGUCUAAAAUAAAUGUUACUAGACCUAGGCACCUAGCUAUGUAGUUUUCUCAAAAAAUACAUUACUAGUGUUCCUUUAUAGUUGGUAUGAUAAAUCUCUAGACAUUAAACUAAUUAAAGGUCUAAAAACGUGUCUCUCAUACUAAGUGUCAUAUUAUCAUAUACAACAACUCAAAAAGUUAAAACACAAAUUGACAAAAUCAUGAGAAAAAUGCCAAAUGCAUAACUUUUCCUAGUUAUCUUCCUACACAUUGCUAUCGUCUUUAUUUCUUGAAUAGUUUCCUAGUGAUUUCAUUUGAAAAUAACAAUAAACUGAAUUUAAGAAAUAAAUUAUAUGUUAUUUAUUCCUGCAAGUGUUUUGUUCUGCGUUUACUAGUUCAUGGCGGCCAUAAACUCGAAGAUUUAGUCAAACAUCUUUGUUCUCUAAUCUUUCCAAAGACUUUCAAAAACAUAUAUGCAUAUGCUUAGUCAUUGCAUAUAAUAAUUACAAAUCAUUGAAUCCCAAAUUUAUUAAUCUUAUUGUUUAAAGACAAACAAAACCAAUAAGGUUUCGUCGUUACCCACUACCAUUGUUUCAGUUCAUUACAAAACACAACAAACACAUCAUCCAUUUCAUAAGAUCUUACGACAUCUCUCUGAAUUCUUCUUCAAUAUUUGUUACUCCGAUCAAAAGAUCUCGGAAUAAUGGGAGCGUACAGAGCCGACGACGACUAUGAUUACCUCUUUAAACUAGUCUUGAUCGGAGACUCCGGCGUCGGGAAAUCAAACCUUUUGUCUCGAUUCACAAGAAACGAAUUCAGCAUCGAGUCAAAGUCAACUAUCGGCGUAGAGUUCGCCACAAGAAGCGUUCAUGUCGACGAGAAAAUCAUUAAAGCUCAGCUUUGGGACACGGCCGGUCAAGAGAGGUAACAAAUCCUCGAGACUUCUCUGUUUUAUCUUCCGCUCUGUUUCUUUCUUUAUCUAUAUUUUAGUUAUACUCUGUUUCUACGGCUCUGUUUUUGAGCAAUUUCGUUUUGUUGUGAUACAGAUACAGAGCAAUCACGAGUGCAUACUACAGAGGAGCAGUGGGGGCACUUCUAGUAUACGACAUAACCCGACACAUAACGUUUGAAAACGUUGAAAGAUGGCUCAAGGAGCUUCGUGACCAUACCGAUGCAAACGUUGUGAUCAUGCUUGUUGGAAACAAAGCCGAUCUUCGCCACCUUCGCGCAGUCCCUACAGACGAAGCUAGAGCGUUUUCUGAGAGAGAGAACAUGUUCUUCAUGGAAACUUCUGCUUUGGAUGCUACAAACGUCGAGCAAGCUUUCACUCAUGUAUUGACUCAGAUCUAUCGUGUAAUGAGCCGUAAAGCACUUGAUGGUACUGGAGAUCCGAUGUCUUUACCUAAAGGACAGACCAUUGAUAUCGGAAACAAGGAUGAUGUUACCGCUGUUAAAUCCUCUGGCUGUUGCUCAGGUUGAGAUUAUUGUUCUUGUUUUUGUAAACUGUCUUUUUUGGAAGAAGGUUUUGGUUUUGAAUUUGGAUUUGUUGUAUCUGACUUUUUUGGGAAAUCAGACCGGUUUGGUUUUACAAUACAAACCGAAAUUUGUAUGAGACUGGACAAGACUUGGUCUGCUUAAUAAGUUCGUUUUAGUCGUGAAUAGGGCGAUAAACGUUUGAACCGAAUCAAUUAAAUUGAACCACGCAAACUAAUACUACUUAAGAGUUCAGUUAUAUUGUUCUUACAGAAUCAAAUUCGGUUAACCAAACCUAUAAAAAUUUAUUCGAAAUAUCAAAUAUGCAUGUCCACCCGUAAACAUGUUAAUUUGGGUGUAAAACGUAUUAAUGACGAAUUAGGGAGGUAGUUUAUGGUGUGUGUGUGUUAUAAUUGUCCUAAUAAGUAAUAACAAUGAAUGGACUAAGAGAAAUAUUAAGUUAUUUAUGAACAGAAAUCAAAGUGGAAGAAGAGCACAAAGGAAAUCUAAAACUUACCACAAACCCAAAAGCAAAGAAGAAGGUAGUAGAAGUAUACCUUUUUCCACACGGAAGCAAGUUAGGUCCACCGUCCAAAUUAAGUAUGACAAGAUCUUUCCUUCCAAGUCUCAGGAUGUUUAUUGUUUCGUGCACUUGACAAUCAUCAUAAUAUUCAUGCGAAUAUGAUCAUUUAUUUACUAAAAUCAUGAGCUAUGAUAGUUGUUUAUUACCGAAGAAAUGAGAGCAAUGCACCAAAGAGAAUCACCAAGCAACGAUUAAAAUCAUAUCAAUACGAAACCGUUACUAAAGACCUAACUUUUGAGCUUUUCCUCUCCCUUUUUUUUUCUUUACGUUCUUAGAAAAUUAUUUUGAAUUUUUUUUAUAACCGAAAUGUCUAACGUGCAGGUCUCAAUGCAUGAUAUUUCGUAAUUUAACAAUUAAAAUGAUGAUAUAAUUUUUUUUUUUUUGGGUUAAAAAUGAUGAUAUAAUUAUUAUAUCUAAAUAAAGAUUCUUGUAAAAGGAACCAUCAAGGUGAAAAGAAACGAAAACUCGUGGGUUGACUAAGCACUUUACGUUAAUUCAACAUAUGAUUACCCAAUUAAUAUAAAUUACUUAUUCUAUUUGUUAGACCUUACUUGACCUCCACGACGGAUUAGUCAUAUUUUUAUAAAUUUUACGAAGAUAAUGUUUAUCAACCACUUUAAAACCGAGUAUACAUGCAUGCUCGAUAUCAAUGUUAAUUAAUUUAAACGAUUACAGAAAUGAUGUUAUAAUAAUCCCACUAGAUUGUAAUUUACGAAUUUUGAAAUACAUUACACACCCAGAAACAAAAACAAAAAGAUUUAGUAAACGACAUGGAGGAGAAUUGUUCAUAUGAAAUUUAGAUGUUAAAAAAACGUAUGAUUAUAUUAAAACAAGAAUAAGUAUAAUCCCCUUUUAAUUAAACAAAAGUGUGGAAAGAACAUGCUUCACUUAAACAAAGACUUUGGUUUGGUCUCAAAGGUUACUUGCAAGGAAUAAGAAAAGUGUAAAGCUUCUUUUUUUUUUUUUUUCUCUCACGUUGCUCUCUCAUUAUAUAUCCUCUACUUUUAGAUUUCCUCAUCAUUCUUUCUUACAUCAAAUCAUUUCCUAAGAAUCAGAGACAAACAUAGAGACAAAGAAAAGCAACUUCAGAGACAGAUAUGGAGAUCAAAGUUGAUGAAGAUCAUCAAAAGAGUACAAAAGAAGAAGAGAUCAAAAAGCCACUUCUUGAACAAGACAAAGACUUUCCUGAUAUAGAAAGAACAACAUGGAUACAAAAGGCAAUAGGUCAAACGUUCCAAACCACUGCUCAUUUAGCUAAUCUCUUACCAACAGGGACCGUUCUCGCGUUUCAGCUCUUAUCGCCAAUUUUCUCAAACGGCGGUCAAUGCGAUUUAGUGAGCAAGAUCAUGACAUCGACUCUAGUAGCAAUAUGUGGAUUCUCUUGCUUCAUAUACAGCUUCACGGAUUCUUACAAAGACAAAAACGGCACUAUUUGCUACGGAUUCGCAACGUUCCACGGGUUUUGGAUCAUCGAUGGAUCCACGACUCUUCCUCAAGAACUAUCUAAGAGAUACAAGCUAAGGUUCAUAGAUUUUGUUCACGCCUUCAUGUCAUUUUUCGUGUUUGGCGCCGUGGUUUUAUUCGACCGGAACGCUGUGAACUGUUUCUUUCCAGCACCGUCAGCUGAAGCGUUGGAGGUUCUCACCGCGUUGCCUGUAGGCGUAGGAGUGUUUUGUAGUAUGUUGUUUGCAACAUUUCCUACAACACGCAACGGAAUUGGUUUCCCACUUUCUAGCAAAUGAUUUGAUUACUUGUAACUUUGAUCUAUCGAUGUAACUUGUGUGUGAUUCAAGAUUCUCUUUGAUGAUCUCUUGAAAGAGACUUCUCCUAUACUGUUUCUUGUAUUCAAGCUAAUAAUAUAAAGGGUACGGUAUUGUUGCUAUAAUAGUGAAUCAAAAAAGCAAUAAAAGAGAGGUAAUUAAGAUUACCUCAAGACAUCUGCCACUAGGUGGUGGUGUGAUGAGUUUGAACAACCGAUUGAAUUAUCUAGUUGCACAUUGCACAGUUUAAAUUUAAAGCAGAGGAUUAACUCUGCCGACGAAGUACCCAUUGGAACCCUAGUGUGUGAGACUUGUUAGGUGACACAACCACUAGGAAAGUAUUGAAUUAGUGUCCUAAUCUUUAAUUAAAUUGUACUAAUUUGACCAAGGGAAAUAAGUAGAGUAACCUAAGAAUCCGGUUUAGGCUAGUUUGCUAAAUCAGAAACGAUUCAAGGUUAUCGAUUGAUGCAUUAGCAUCUUACUCAUCAAGCCAUCAUUAAUUCGAGAUCAGUGUGUUGUUUUUUUUUAAUGUUGUUCGACGAGAGUAGAGUGUUCGUUCUUGUGGGUUUUGGUUUACUCUUGGUUUUGUGACACAGUCUCUUGAAUCUCUAUUGUCUUCUUCGACAUAUUUCAAAUCUCUGUUUCCUGGAAAACAGAUUCAGUUAUGGGUUUUUCUAAAGAUUCAUGAUUUCACAGUUGUAAAUUCUGUAAUCAUCACUAAUAAUUAACUAAAAAGAGAGGUAAUUUAGAUAUAACAGGUUCCUUUGUCCAAAAAAAAAAAAAAGAUAUAACAGGGUCCCGGUUUAUUACAUCGGUUCUUUAAUUAGUUUUACAAACCAGAAACAACAAUUCGGGUUCGAGGAUUGCAUCGUCGUCAACACCGUAUGAUUGUCUGAUCUGGGUUUUUUAUUUUCUAAAGAACUUUCAGAGUUCUUUGAUUGGAAUCUAGUGGAUAAAAAUGGAGAGAUGAAUAACGAUUUCAGAGUUCAAUCAUGUAGAGAAAGGCAAAAGAAAAACAAAAGAGAGGUAAUUUAGAUUACCUCAUUUAGGUCUAUCCAACCACAGCGGUGGAAGACGACAACAUCCGACGAGGAGUUUGAGUCAACCUCGGGAGAAAGGGCGCUCCAGAUUAAACUGGGAAGGUUUACAUUCCACUACGGGAAGAAGAUGCGCCCGGAGGCGGCUUAGUAGACCAUCCUCGAGGCUUAGUGCUCGGAGGACGGUAGAAGUUUCACGAGCAAUGAUGCUCGGACAGUAGAAGGUUCUCGAGGCAUAUGAUGCUCGGAUGAAGCCAACUUGGGUACCAAUAUUGCUCGAACCCUGGUGGGAGUCGUGCUCAGCUGAGCCUCAACCACCUUGACCAGGUUCGAAUUGGUGUCCU
rnacentral:lncRNA from 1 species